rnacentral:sRNA from 1 species
CGGCGCGGGCGCAGGCGCGCAGCGCAAAGGCGGCCGGGAGUAAGGCGGAGCUGAAGGAGGAGCUUGAGGGAAGCGUGCGAGAAGGGGCGUAACUGAUUUGGAAACCAGAGGAAAGGCGCUGUUUUCACCGAAUUAGAAUCGCGGGAAAAUAGAGAAGAGUUUGUUUGAAGGUCUCGCGAGAUCAAGACCGGAAGUCCUUCAUCUCAAGCAUCCAAUGCUGAAAGCGGCCUGACUUUCUCUACCGGAAGCCCUUUUCCAGAGGCUGGGAACACGGCCCACCUGGCAGGAAGUCCCACCUCCUUGAGCUCCGCCACCCUUCCCGAAGUUUUUCUGUCACCUGUGUUAGGCUCCGUCCCGUUUCCCCGUUCUAUCCCCGUACCAGAAAAGGAUACAUUUAGUGCCUCCCACCCAGCUCCACUAAACGGGUUGGAUAUCUCAUUCUUUGAGUCGGGGUUCCUUCCCCGGCGCCCCCAUGUAGCUGGGAAGUGGGACCUGGGGGUGGUUGGACCCCUGGGAUCCUAAAGGAGGGGCAGGG